rnacentral:rRNA from 1 species
GAUGAACGCUAGCGGCAGGCUAACACAUGCAAGUCGAGGGGUAGAAGGAGCUUGCUCCUUUGAGACCGGCGCACGGGUGCGUAACGCGUAUGCAAUCUACCUUGUACAGGGGAAUAGCCCAGAGAAAUUUGGAUUAAUGCCCCAUAGUAUAUAACCUUCGCAUGUUGGUUAUAUUAAAGUUCCAACGGUACAAGAUGAGCAUGCGUCCCAUUAGUUAGUUGGUAAGGUAACGGCUUACCAAGACGAUGAUGGGUAGGGGUCCUGAGAGGGAGAUCCCCCACACUGGUACUGAGACACGGACCAGACUCCUACGGGAGGCAGCAGUGAGGAAUAUUGGUCAAUGGUCGCAAGACUGAACCAGCCAUGCCGCGUGCAGGAAGACGGUCCUAUGGAUUGUAAACUGCUUUUAUACAGGAAGAAACCCUCCCACGUGUGGGAGCUUGACGGUACUGUAGGAAUAAGGAUCGGCUAACUCCGUG